UACGGGGGGGGCAAGCGUUGUUCGGAAUUACUGGGCGUAAAGGGUUCGUAGGCGGCCAACUAAGUCAGACGUGAAAUCCCUCGGCUUAACCGGGGAACUGCGUCUGAUACUGGAUGGCUUGAGUUUGGGAGAGGGAUGCGGAAUUCCAGGUGUAGCGGUGAAAUGCGUAGAUAUCUGGAGGAACACCGGUGGCGAAGGCGGCAUCCUGGACCGACACUGACGCUGAGGAGCGAAAGCCGGGGGAGCAAACGGG
rnacentral:rRNA from 1 species